rnacentral:rRNA from 1 species
GUCUAUGUCCACACCACCCUGAACGUGCCCGAUCUCAUCUGAUCUCGGAAGCUAAGCAGGAUUGGGCCUGGAUAGUAUUUGGAUGGGAGAUCACCUAGGAAGACCAGGUGCUGUAGGCA